AUUCCUUUCUCGGCCUUUUGGCUAAGAUCAAGUGUAGUAUCUGUUCUUAUCAGUUUAAUAUCUGAUAUGUGAACUAUUAGUUCACACGAUAUUAAAUUAAUUUUUUGAGGGAGAGGGCCAUCAAAGUAGCUUGCUACUUCGUCUCUCAAGCAUCGUCAUGAUGUCUUUUAUUUACAUGUUAACUGAUACAGUGAUG
rnacentral:snRNA from 1 species